UGUAUAAUGGGUCAGCGACUUAUAUUCUGUAGCAAGGUUAACCGAAUAGGGGAGCCGAAGGGAAACCGAGUCUUAACUGGGCGUUAAGUUGCAGGGUAUAGACCCGAAACCCGGUGAUCUAGCCAUGGGCAGGUUGAAGGUUGGGUAACACUAACUGGAGGACCGAACCGACUAAUGUUGAAAAAUUAGCGGAUGACUUGUGGCUGGGGGUGAAAGGCCAAUCAAACCGGGAGAUAGCUGGUUCUCCCCGAAAGCUAUUUAGGUAGCGCCUCGUGAAUUCAUCUCCGGGGGUAGAGCACUGUUUCGGCAAGGGGGUCAUCCCGACUUACCAACCCGAUGCAAACUGCGAAUACCGGAGAAUGUUAUCACGGGAGACACACGGCGGGUGCUAACGUCCGUCGUGAAGAGGGAAACAACCCAGACCGCCAGCUAAGGUCCCAAAGUCAUGGUUAAGUGGGAAACGAUGUGGGAAGGCCCAGACAGCCAGGAUGUUGGCUUAGAAGCAGCCA
rnacentral:rRNA from 1 species